rnacentral:rRNA from 1 species
GGUAAAGGCCUACCAUGGCGACGAUCUGUAGCUGGUCUGAGAGGAUGAUCAGCCACACCGGGACUGAGACACGGCCCGGACUCCUACGGGAGGCAGCAGUGGGGAAUAUUGGACAAUGGGGGAAACCCUGAUCCAGCCAUGCCGCGUGUGUGAAGAAGGCCUUUUGGUUGUAAAGCACUUUAAGCAGUGAAGAAGACUCCGUGGUUAAUACCCACGGACGAUGACAUUAGCUGCAGAAUAAGCACCGGCUAACUCUGUGCCAGCAGCCGCGGUAAUACAGAGGGUGCAAGCGUUAAUCGGAAUUACUGGGCGUAAAGGGAGCGUAGGUGGCUCUAUAAGUCAGAUGUGAAAUCCCCGGGCUUAACCUGGGAACUGCAUCUGAAACUGUAGAGCUAGAGUAUGUGAGAGGAAGGUAGAAUUCCAGGUGUAGCGGUGAAAUGCGUAGAGAUCUGGAGGAAUACCGAUGGCGAAGGCAGCCUUCUGGCAUAAUACUGACACUGAGGCUCGAAAGCGUGGGUAGCAAACAGGAUUAGAUACCCUGGUAGUCCACGCCGUAAACGAUGUCUACUAGUCGUUGGGUCCCUUGAGGACUUAGUGACGCAGCUAACGCAAUAAGUAGACCGCCUGGGGAGUACGGCCGCAAGGUUAAAACUCAAAUGAAUUGACGGGGGCCCGCACAAGCGGUGGAGCAUGUGUUUAAUUCGAUGCAACGCGAAGAACCUUACCUGG